GGCCAGGUAGCUCAGUUGGUAGAGCAGCGGACUGAAAAUCCGCGUGUCGGUGGUUCGAUUCCGCCCCUGGCCA
rnacentral:tRNA from 2 species